rnacentral:rRNA from 1 species
UACGUAGGGGGCGAGCGUUGUCCGGAAUUAUUGGGCGUAAAGAGCGUGUAGGCGGUUCGGUAAGUCUGCCGUGAAAACCUGGGGCUCAACCCCGGGCGUGCGGUGGAUACUGCCGGGCUAGAGGGUGGUAGAGGCGAGUGGAAUUCCCGGUGUAGCGGUGAAAUGCGCAGAUAUCAGGAGGAACACCGGUGGCGAAGGCGGGACUCUGGGCCGAUACUGACGCUGAGGAGCGAAAGCGUGGGGAGCAAACAGG